GACGUAGGGCGCGAGCGUUGUCCGGAUUUAUUGGGCGCAAAGAGCUCGUAGGCGGCCUGUCGCGUCGGUUGUGAAAGCCCGGGGCUCAACCCCGGGUCUGCAGUCGAUACGGGCAGGCUAGAGUUCGGUAGGGGAGAUCGGAAUUCCUGGUGUAGCGGUGAAAUGCGCAGAUAUCAGGAGGAACACCGGUGGCGAAGGCGGAUCUCUGGGCCGAUACUGACGCUGAGGAGCGAAAGCGUGGGGAGCGAACAGG
rnacentral:rRNA from 1 species